GAUGAACGCUAGCGGCAGGCCUAAUACAUGCAAGUCGAACGGUGUCCUCGGACAUAGUGGCGCACGGGUGCGUAACACGUAUGCAAUCUACCUUAUACAGGGGCAUAACUUCGAGAAAUCGGUGCUAAUUCCCCAUAACACUAUGACUGGGCAUCCAGAUGUAGUUAAAGUUUCGGCGGUAUAAGAUGAGCAUGCGUCCAAUUAGCUAGUAGGUGAGGUAAUGGCUCACCUAGGCUACGAUUGGUAGGGGUUCUGAGAGGAUGAUCCCCCACACUGGUACUGAGACACGGACCAGACUCCUACGGGAGGCAGCAGUGAGGAAUAUUGCGCAAUGGACGAAAGUCUGACGCAGCCAUGCCGCGUGAAGGAUUGAAGGUCCUAUGGAUUGUAAACUUCUUUUGUACGGGAAUAAACCCUACCUCGUGAGGUAGGCUGAAGGUACCGUAAGAAUAAGCACCGGCUAACUCCGUGCCAGCAGCCGCGGUAACAC
rnacentral:rRNA from 1 species